rnacentral:rRNA from 1 species
AGCGAACGCUGGCGGCAGGCCUAACACAUGCAAGUCGAACGAAGUCUUCGGACUUAGUGGCGGACGGGUGAGUAACACGUGGGAACGUGCCUUUAGGUUCGGAAUAACUCAGGGAAACUUGUGCUAAUACCGAAUGUGCCCUUCGGGGGAAAGAUUUAUCGCCUUUAGAGCGGCCCGCGUCUGAUUAGCUAGUUGGUGAGGUAAAGGCUCACCAAGGCGACGAUCAGUAGCUGGUCUGAGAGGAUGAUCAGCCACAUUGGGACUGAGACACGGCCCAAACUCCUACGGGAGGCAGCAGUGGGGAAUCUUGCGUAAUGGGCGAAAGCCUGACGCAGCCAUGCCGCGUGAAUGAUGAAGAUCUUAGGAUUGUAAAAUUCUUUCACCGGGGACGAUAAUGACGGUACCCGGAGAAGAAGCCCCGGCUAACUUCGUGCCAGCCGCCGCCGUAAAAC